AUGCGGUAUGACGGUACCCUUUCGAAUAAGAGGUUGCUAACUCUGUGCCAGCAGCAGCGGUAAUACAGAGACCUCGAGCGUUAUCCGGAUUUACUGGGCGUAAAGCGUCUGUAGGGGGUUUGUUAAGUCCCAAGUAAAAUCUUAAGGCUCAACUUUAAGUUCGCUUGGAAAACUAAUAAACUGGAGUCCAGCAGAGGUGCAUGGAACUUGCGGUGUAGGAGUGAAAUCCGUUGAUAUCGCAAGGAACACCAAAGGCGAAGGCAUUGCACUGGGCUGGUACUGACCCUGAGAGACGAAAGCGUGGGGAGCAAAACGGAUUAGAUACCCGUGUAGUCCACGCCGUAAACGAUGGAUACUAGAUGUUCGGGGAUUCGACCCCCUGGGUGUCACAGCUAACGCGUUAAGUAUCCCGCCUGGGAAGUACGGCCGCAAGGCUAAAACUCAAAGGAAUAGACGGGGAUCCGCACAAGCGGUGGAGCGUCUGGUUUAAUUUGAUAGUAAGCAAUGGACCUCACCAAGGUUUGACAUCCUAUGACAACCCUGGAAGCAGGGCUUCCUUCGGGCAUAGUGACAGGUGCUGCAUGGUCGUCGUCAGUUCGUGCCGUGAGGUGUUCCGUUAAGUCGGGAAACGAACGAAACCCUCGUCGCAUGUUACAAAUUUCAUGCGAGACUGCCCGGGUCAACCGGGAGGAAGGCGGGGAUGACGUCAGAUCAGCAUGGCCCUUAUACCUUGGGCUACACAGGCGCUACAAUGGCCGGCACAAAGGGUUGCAAAACCGCGAGGUGAAGCUAAUCCCAUAAAGCCGGUCCAAGUUCGGAUUGGAGGCUGCAACUCGCCUCCAUGAAGUUGGAAUCGCUAGUAAUCGUGGAUCAGCCAUACCACGGUGAAUACGUUCCCGGAUCUUGUACUCACCGCCCGUCACACCAAGAGAGUUGGUAGCUCCUGAAGC
rnacentral:rRNA from 1 species